AAGUCGUAACAAGGUUUCCGUAGGUGAACCUGCGGAAGGAUCAUUUCCAAAAAAUACAAUACCAACUCACUGUGUGAACUGUUGAAUGCCUUUUACUCUCUUCCAAGUGUGUCCUAGAUACACACAUAUAUUAACUUAGCGUCUUGGUACGUCAAGUUCAAUGUAUGUAUAUCUAUCACAUACCUCUGGCGGAGAGGCCAUGUUGAACUACCUUGCUACAAGGUUGAUCUAAAACUUCUUUUGUGGUUAUACUACAAUUGAUAUGACAACUUUUAACGGUGGAUCUCUUGGCUCGU
rnacentral:misc_RNA from 1 species